rnacentral:rRNA from 1 species
AGAGUUUGAUCCUGGCUCAGGAUGAACGCUAGCUACAGGCUUAACACAUGCAAGUCGAGGGGCAGCAUGAACUUAGCUUGCUAAGUUUGAUGGCGACCGGCGCACGGGUGAGUAACACGUAUCCAACCUGCCGAUGACUCGGGGAUAGCCUUUCGAAAGAAAGAUUAAUACCCGAUGGCAUAGUUCUUCCGCAUGGUAGAACUAUUAAAGGAUUUCGGUCAUCGAUGGGGAUGCGUUCCAUUAGGUUGUUGGCGGGGUAACGGCCCACCAAGCCUUCGAUGGAUAGGGGUUCUGAGAGGAAGGUCCCCCACAUUGGAACUGAGACACGGUCCAAACUCCUACGGGAGGCAGCAGUGAGGAAUAUUGGUCAAUGGACGAGAGUCUGAACCAGCCAAGUAGCGUGAAGGAUGACUGCCCUAUGGGUUGUAAACUUCUUUUAUACGGGAAUAAAGUGAGCCACGUGUGGCUUUUUGUAUGUACCGUAUGAAUAAGGAUCGGCUAACUCCGUGCCAGCAGCCGCGGUAAUACGGAGGAUCCGAGCGUUAUCCGGAUUUAUUGGGUUUAAAGGGAGCGUAGGCGGGUUGUUAAGUCAGUUGUGAAAGUUUGCGGCUCAACCGUAAAAUUGCAGUUGAUACUGGCGACCUUGAGUGCAACAGAGGUAGGCGGAAUUCGUGGUGUAGCGGUGAAAUGCUUAGAUAUCACGAAGAACUCCGAUUGCGAAGGCAGCUUACUGGAUUGUAACUGACGCUGAUGCUCGAAAGUGUGGGUAUCAAACAGGAUUAGAUACCCUGGUAGUCCACACAGUAAACGAUGAAUACUCGCUGUUUGCGAUAUACAGUAAGCGGCCAAGCGAAAGCAUUAAGUAUUCCACCUGGGGAGUACGCCGGCAACGGUGAAACUCAAAGGAAUUGACGGGGGCCC